GACGAACCGUCCAAACGUUAUUCGGUAUCACUGGGCUUAAAGAGUUCGUAGGCGGCUAAACAGGUGAGGUGUGAAAGCCCUCGGCUCAACCGAGGAACUGCGCUUCAAACCGUUUAGCUAGAGGAAGACAGAGGUGAGCGGAACUGAUGGUGGAGCGGUGAAAUGCGUUGAUAUCAUCAGGAACACCGGUGGCGAAAGCGGCUCACUGGGUCUUUUCUGACGCUGAGGAACGAAAGCUAGGGGAGCGAACGGGAUUAGAUACCCCGGUAGUCCUAGCCGUAAACGAUGAGCACUAGACUGUGGGGACCCUCACAUCCUCUCGGUCGUAGCGAAAGUGUUAAGUGCUCCGCCUGGGGAGUAUGGUCGCAAGGCUG
rnacentral:rRNA from 1 species